UAGGGAAUCUUCGGCAAUGGACGAAAGUCUGACCGAGCAACGCCGCGUGAGUGAAGAAGGUUUUCGGAUCGUAAAACUCUGUUGUUAGAGAAGAACAAGGACGUUAGUAACUGAACGUCCCCUGACGGUAUCUAACCAGAAAGCCACGGCUAACUACGUGCCAGCAGCCGCGGUAAUACGUAGGUGGCAAGCGUUGUCCGGAUUUAUUGGGCGUAACGCGAGCGCAGGCGGUUUCUUAAGUCUGAUGUGAAAGCCCCCGGCUCAACCGGGGAGGGUCAUUGGAAACUGGGAGACUUGAGUGCAGAAGAGGAGAGUGGAAUUCCAUGUGUAGCGGUGAAAUGCGUAGAUAUAUGGAGGAACACCAGUGGCGAAGGCGGCUCUCUGGUCUGUAACUGACGCUGAGGCUAGAAAGCGUGGGGAGCAAACAGG
rnacentral:rRNA from 1 species